rnacentral:tRNA from 43 species
CGGAAAGAGAGGGAUUCGAC